rnacentral:rRNA from 1 species
CCUGGUGGUUAUGGCGGAGCGGCUGCACCCGAUCCCAUUCCGAACUCGGCCGUGAAACGCUCCAGCGCCAAUGGUACUUUGUCUCAAGACACGGGAGAGUAGGUCGCUGCGGUCU